rnacentral:lncRNA from 1 species
GAAUGACUCAACCAGCUCCAGUGAAGAUGACAACUGAGUAGCUGAAUUCAUGACAACUUCACCCUAAGGGUUGUCCCCUGAAUCCAAAAACAGGAAUUGGCACAAAGCAAGCAGAGGAACGGAUUUUGAAGUCCAGACAUCUGCAACAGCACCAACAGAGGCAUCUCGGAGGGCUGUGUGUGAGCUGCGAGCAUCGCUUCCCUCGUCCCUCAACGCGGAGACGGCUG